UCGGGGUGUAAAGCUCUUUCAUUAGGGAAGAUAAUGACAGUACCUGACGAAUCAGCUGCGGCUCACUACGUGCCACCACCCGCGGUAAUAACUAGGCGGCUAACGUUGUUCGGAAUUACUGGGCGUAAAGGGUGUGUAAGCGGUUCUUUAAGUUUGGUGUGAAAUCUCCCGGCUCAACCGGGAGGGUGCGCCGAAUACUGAGGGACUAGAGUGUGGGAGAGGAAAGUGGAAUUCCUGGUGUAGCGGUGAAAUGCAUAUAUAUCAGGAGGAACACCAGUGGUGUAUACGGCUUUCUGGACCAUUACUGACGCUGAGACACGAAAGCGUGGGUAGCAAACAGGAUUAAAUACCCUGGUAGUCCACGCCCUAAACGAUGCAUAUUUGGUGUGGGUCAUUCAAUUGAUCCGUGCCGGAGCUAACGCGUUAAAUAUGCCGCCUGGGGAGUACAGUCGC
rnacentral:rRNA from 1 species